UCUGGUUGAUCCUGCCGGACCCCACUGCUAUCGGGACAGGACUAAGACAUGCUAGUCGAGUGGCUCAGCCAAUACGAGCCACGGCAUACAGCUCAGUAACACGUGGCUAAUCUGCCCUUAGGACGAGAACAACCCCGGGAAACUGGGGCUAACUCUCGAUAGGUGAAGAACUCUGGAAUGAGUCUUCACAUAAACAGUUCGGCGUUACGCUCGUUGAACCGCCUAAGGAUGAGGCCGCGACCGAUCAGGUUGUUGGUGAGGUAAUGGCUCACCAAGCCUUUUACCGGUGCGGGCCGUGAGAGCGGGAGCCCGGAGAUGGGCACUGAGACAAGGGCCCAGGCCCUACGGGGCGCAGCAGUCGCGAAAACUUUGCAAUACACGAAAGUGUGACAGGGCUAUCCCGAGUGCCAUCCGCUGAGGAAGGCUUUUACCCAGUCUAGAAAGCUGGGGGAAUAAGGAGAGGGCAAGUCUGGUGUCAGCCGCCGCGGUAAUACCAGCUCUCCGAGUGGUGUGGAUGUUUAUUGGGCCUAAAGCAUCCGUAGCUGGCUAAGUUAGUCCCUUGUUAAAUCCACCGAAUUAAUCGUUGGAUUGCGGGGGAUACUGCUUGGCUAGGGGACGAGAGAGGCAGACGGUAUUUUCGGGGUAGGGGUGAAAUCCUAUAAUCCCGGGAAGACCACCAGUGGCGAAGGCUGUCUGCUAGAACGCGCCCGACGGUGAGGGAUGAAAGCUGGGGGAGCGAACCGGAUCAGAUACCCGGGUAGUCCCAGCUGUAAACGAUGCACGCUAGGUGUUUGGACGGCCACGUGCCGUUCUAGUGCCGCAGGGAAGCUGUUAAGCCUGCCGCCUGGGGAGUACGAUCGCAAGAUUGAAACUUAAAGGAAUUGGCGGGGGAGCA
rnacentral:rRNA from 1 species